CCAAUAGCGUAUAUUAAAGUUGCUGCAGUUAAAAAGCUCGUAGUUGAAUUUCGGGACCAAUAUGUCGGUCGUGCCUCGGUACGUACUGGCAUCGUUGGUUUCUCCCUUCUGAAGAACCAUGAUGUCAUUCAUUUGGUGUCGUGGGGAAUCAGGACUGUUACUUUGAAAAAAUUAGAGUGUUUAAAGCAGGCUCACGCUUGAAUACAUUAGCAUGGAAUAAUGAAAUAGGACGUUUGAUUCUAUUUUGUUGGUUUCUAGGAUCGACGUAAUGAUUAAUAGGGAUAGUUGGGGGCAUUAGUAUUCAAUUGUCAGAGGUGAAAUUCUUGGAUUUAUUGAAGACUAACUACUGCGAAAGCAUUUGCCAAGGAUGUUUUCAUUAAUCAAGAACGAAAGUUAGGGGAUCGAAGACGAUCAGAUACCGUCGUAGUCUUAACCAUAAACUAUGCCGACUAGGGAUCGGAUGAUGUUAAUUUUUUAAUGACUCAUUCGGCGCCUUACG
rnacentral:rRNA from 1 species